GAUGAACGCUAGCGGGAGGCUUAAUACAUGCAAGUCGAACGGCAGCAUGGGACUUCGGUCCUGAUGGCGAGUGGCGCACGGGUGAGUAACGCGUACACAAUCUACCUAUAAGGCGGGGGAUAGCCACUGGAAACGGUGAAUAAUACCCCAUAGUAUUACUUUUAUGAUAUAUGAGUAAUUAAAGCUCCGGCGCUUAUAGAUGAGUGUGCGUCCGAUUAGCUAGUUGGUAAGGUAACGGCUUACCAAGGCGACGAUUGGUAGGGGGCGUGAGAGCGUGAUCCCCCACACGGGUACUGAGACACGGACCCG
rnacentral:rRNA from 1 species